rnacentral:rRNA from 1 species
GAAAUCAACCGAGAUUCUGUGAGUAGUGGCGAGCGAAAGCGGAAGAGGCUAAACCGAGAGGAGCAAUCCUUUCGGGGUUUAGGACUGCAUUUAGUACAACGAUUGUUAACCGAACAGCAUGGGAAGGCUGAUCAAAGAAGGUGAGAAUCCUGUAGGUGAAAACGAAAGUUGACGAGCAGUAUCCAAAGUACCGCGGGGCACGUGAAAUCCCGUGGGAAGAUGGGGGGACCAUCCUCCAAGCCUAAAUACUACCUGAUGACCGAUAGCGAAAAGUACUGUGAAGGAAAGGUGAAAAGCACCCCGGGAGGGGAGUGAAAGAGAACCUGAAACCCUGUGCUUACAAGCACUUAGAGCACGUCAAAGUGUGAUAAGGUACCUAUUGUAGAAUGGUCCGGCGAGUUAUUGUAUGCAGCGAGGUUAAGUAGUUCAGCUACGGAGCCGAAGUGAGAGCGAGUGUUAACAGCACGUUCAGUUGCAUGCAAUAGACCCGAAACCGGGUGACCUAUCCAUGUCCAGGAUGAAGUGAGGGUAAAACCUCAUGGAGGUCCGAACCCACUCCCGUUGAAAUGGUAGGGGAUGAGGUGUGGAUAGCGGAGAAAUUCCAAUCGAACCCGGAUAUAGCUGGUUCUCCCCGAAAUAGUUUUAGGACUAGCCUCGUGAUCAAGAUUAUCGGAGGUAAAGCACUGAAUGGCCUAGGGGUCGAGAGAUUACCGAAGCCUAUCAAACUCUGAAUGCCGAAUAAUCAUGCACGGGAGUCAGACUGUGUGAGAUAAGUUUCAUAGUCGAAAGGGAAACAGCCCAGACCUACAGCUAAGGUCCCAAAGUACGUUUAAGUGGAAAACGAUGUGAAAUUGCGUAGACAACCAGGAUGUUGGCUUAGAAGCAGCCAUACAUUAAAAGAGUGCGUAAUAGCUCACUGGUCGAGUGACUUUGCGCGGAAAAUUUAACGGGGCUAAAACGUACACCGAAGCUUAGGCUUGCAACUAUGUUGCAGGGGUAGGGGAGCGUUGAAUGAGGGGUGAAGUCGUAGCGAAAGCGACGGUGGACUUCAUUCAAGUGAGAAUGCCGGAAUGAGUAGCGAGAAUUAUGUGAGAAUCAUAAUGGCCGAAAGCCUAAGGUUUUUGGAGGAAGGUUCGUCCGCUCCAAGUAAGUCGGAAGCUAAGGUGAGGCUGAAAAGCGUAGCCGAUGCACAAACGGUUGAAAUUCCGUUACCACAGAAAGAUUUAAACUAAGGGACACUUUUGAAGAGCUGAUGCCGGGUGUUGGUUACCCCGGUCGUAAGGGAACGAAAUUAAGUAGUGAAGUCAGCGUGGAUGAAGGCGAGAAAAGCUUAGUGUAUAUCUUAUGUGUCCGUACCGCAAACCGACACAGGUAGGUAGGAAGAGAAUUCUAAGGCCAACGGGAGAAGGGUAGUUAAGGAACUCGGCAAAAUGUCCCCGUAACUUCGGAAUAAGGGGAGGUUUCUACGGAAACCCGCAGAGAAUAGUCCCAGGCAACUGUUUAUCAAAAACACAGCUCUAUGCUAAAUCGAAAGAUGACGUAUAUGGGGUGACGCCUGCCCGGUGCCGGAAGGUUAAGAGGAGGAGUGAGAGCCCUGAAUCGAAGCCCCGGUAAACGGCGGCCGUAACUAUAACGGUCCUAAGGUAGCGAAAUUCCUUGUCAGGUAAGUUCUGACCCGCACGAAUGGCGUAAUGAUCUGGGAGCUGUCUCGACUGCCCGCCCGGCGAAAUUGUAGUACCGGUGAAGAUGCCGGUUACCCGCGACUAGAC